GGGUCGGUAGCUCAGUGGUCAGUUCAUGAUGCGAGAGACAGUCUGGAAACUAUAUCUGACAUCUCAGAAAGGUAGAGCGAAAGAUUGCAGAUCUUUAGGUCACGUGUUCGAACCACGUUCGGCCCU
rnacentral:tRNA from 1 species